GGGCCAGUAGAUCAGUCUGGUAGAUCGCAGCGUUCGCAACGCUGAAGUCGCGGGAUCGAGGCCCGCCUGGUCCA
rnacentral:tRNA from 1 species